rnacentral:rRNA from 1 species
AUGUCUCCACAUUACAAUCACACACAAAGUAUAUCCCAACUUCUUCGGUUCACCGAUGGCUGUCCAACAGCACGGGAUGCACCGGGAGAUGUUUUGGACUACACGCCCGGCAACGUGCACUACAACAGGGAACCAUCCUGCUCAGCCCGGCCAACAGGACUGCACGCGUCGUGCACAUGGGCUGCAAUCAAAUGGGAGUCCACAAAUAGACCAAAACUUUACAAAGACUACUUAAAAAAAUACACGUUUCUAAAAAAAAUACACAAUCAGAUCCAAGGGCGCCCAACAGCAAUGCACUUCAGGUGGGCAUGUGGGAGGAGGUCGGCGGAAUGCACUGGCUAUCUUUUCUGCAAAAAAAGAGAAGUAAAAAUGAACCUGAAGAGCAAAACAACAGUUGACUAA